UUUGAUAAUAAGGUAUAUUCAUUUAAAAAUAUAAAUUCCAGACUGAAAAUAAGUUGACAUGAUGGCAAGGGGUCACCCUGAAGAAGAGUACUCAGCGAUGUUGGAACCUUAUAAUGAAGAUGGCAAAACCUUCAAUGGAAAUAAUCAAUCACAGCCUCUAAUAGAAGGAUCGUCUGUGGAUGAAAAACUUACACAUUUGGUUGAAUGUGUUAAAAAUAUGACUAUUUUGUAUUCGUUAGAUCACCGCGAUUGGAAUGAAAAAGUGAUUGAUAUGAUACGCCUCUGGUUGACACAAGUUAAUGAACCAAUACUUUCAAUAUUUUACGAUGGCAAUGUCCUUACAGGUUGCCUUGGUUUUCCAGUCGCCCCGGUCUUAGAUCUCAGCUACUUCAUUCGUUCACCAAGCCACAUAUUAACUACAGAGUCGUUUUAUGACGUAGUACAUUUUGGAACAAUUCAUGAUGAUGUUGAUGGAUGCCUUCUACGUAUUUUGGAAUGUAUAUAUGCUCCAAUUUUUCGUAAUUUUACAGAAUGGGGUGAUAAUGUUAAGCAACGUUUUUGUACUGCUCUGGAUAGAUUUCUUGGCUUUUUAACUGGAAUAUAUUUUAAAAUGUCCGGAAUGACAGUCUUAUAUGUCCCAUAUGUUGUUAAGCAAAUAGAAAAAGAAAGCAUUUCCUAUGAUAGAGAAUUUGUGAAGAAUUUGGAGGCCAUAGCAGUUUCUUGGGCCACACAAAUACGUACUCUUUUAAAUGAUAAGACAUUGACUGUAUCUAAUGAAUUUGUGAGUGUUGAGGAUGAGUACGAAUUUUGGCUCUAUCGCU